CUGCUGGUGACGGCGAUCUCCCAGCAGCUGGAGGCAUCUCAGCGCCGAGGUGAUGUGUGUAUUGGUGACUGUUCUGAGAAGGUUGUUUUGUUCUUGAGAGGGGAGG